GAGGGCCGGCCGGCGGGCGCUGCUCGGCGGAGUCGGCUGGGGCGGCCCCUCGUGGCGCACAGCCCUCCCCCACCUCCACCCGCAGGAGCGUUAACCCGUCAACGCCGCGGUGGGCGGUGCGCGGCGCUUCCGGGUUCCUCAGCGCUAACCACCCCGCACGUGCGCGGCCUCCGGGGGCCUUUUUCCCGCCGCGCCGGCCCCCGCUCCGCGCUCCCUACGCUCCGAGGGGACGCCGGGUACGGGUAGGCCGGCGAGGGCCCCUCCAGGCCCAGUGUCCGAAACGUGCACGGGAGGAGCCGGUGGUGGCAGCUUCCCCCUUUUCUCCUACCCGGACCGCACUACGACUCCCAGCGGGCAGCGCCGCCACGCGCGUCGGCCGCGGAAGCGGUGCCUGCCGGGAGCUGCAGUCCUCAACGGCCGCGGCGCUCGCUCUGCCCAACUGGCCGCGGGUGCUGGCCACCGCUCGGGGACCCCAACCGUCCGGGGCGAGGGGCCCUCGUCGCCGCCCCGGGGCUGCGUGGGGAGGGGGAGGGGCUGCGUGCUGGGGUCCGAGCCUUGCUCUCCCUCCUCCGUGUCGCCGGGGUCGCUGUGGCUGGGGGGGAUCUGACCACGCGUUGCCUUGAGGUGCUAGGUUGGGGUCACUGAUUCGUGCUGUUUGUGUAUUUGCUUAGCUGGUCGCACACCGGAGAAAAACGAGUUUCUCCUGAGAGUGGGAGUUGGUCGCAGCCGUUUCGUGUAUGGCACCGCAGCCCUGCAACCAGACAAAAUUAGGAAUGGCCUACACCGCCCCAAUUAUAAAUGUUUAAAGUAAUUUCCUACGUUAGUUGUGAGCUUUAAUUAAACACUAAAUUCACUUGGUAGCCUUAAAAAUGCCAGCUCAUAGGAGUGACAGGUCAAUAUACAGAAUCUGCCGUCAGGUGGUAAUGAGCAUUUAAGCAUUUCCACAACUGUUCUAUGGUGUGUUCCUGACAGUAAUCUUGGGUGGGAGGUGGAGAAGUAAUAACUUUAUUUUACUGGUAAGGGAACAGCCUCAGGUUGAAUGAUUGCCCAAUUCGUUCUUUAAUUCAAUAAGUGUUGAUACAUGCCAACUGUGUUGCCAGGUGUGCCCUGUGUAUAUCUGCAUGCCAGUAUUUUAUAGCUGAUCGCAUUUAAUUUCAGAAUUUAAACCAAAAGAAUCACUCACGAUGCUGUUUCCCCAGUCUCGGUAGGAGGAAGGUAAUAUUUUAUGAAAAGCGUGUUGCCUUGUGUGCUUUUAUUAAAAGAGCAAAACUUAGGACUCUGCUUUGGGAAGAUACUUGUAUUACCAAAUGACAAAUCUAAGAGGGUACUUUGAAAAGUUCUGUGGAAAAACAGAAAUAAAGAGUAAAUUUAGGGGCUGAUGCUGUGGCGUAGCAAGUAAAGCUGCUGCCUGCAGUGCUGGCAUCCCAUGUGGGCGCUGGUUCAAGUUCUGGCUGCUCCACUUUCAACCCAGCUCUCUGCUAUGGCCUGGGAAAGCAGUAGAGGAUGGCCCAAGUGCUUGGGCCCCUGCACCCAAGUGAGAGACCCGGAAGAAGCUCCUGGCUCCUGGCUUUGGCCUGGCCCAAGCCUGGACAAUGUGGCCAUUGGGGGAGUGAACCAGUGGAUGGAGUACCUCUAUCUCUGCCUCUCUGUAACUCUGCUUUUCAAAUAAAGUAAAUAAAAUCUUUGAAAAAUGUAUUUUGGUGCAAAAAAGUUUAAACCCAUGUAUUUUUUUACAUUAGAGGUAUUUUCCAUGAACUUUUUGAAGGCCUCAUAUUAAAACUUUUUUAAAAUCAACCCACUAUUACCUGUGUUCACUGAAUUCCUACAAAAUGGUAAGUACUGUGUGGGUAAGGAGAAUAGAUGACACAAAAACCAAUUCCUGUUCUCAAGCGGCUUAUGAUGAGCUCCCUGGUACGUAAUAAAUACAAGCAUUGAAAUCAGUGCUGAGCCGGCGCUGUGGCAUAGCAGGUAAAGCCACUGCCUGCAGCCCCGGCAUCCCAUAUGGGUUCCAGUUUGAGUCCCAGCUGCUCCACUUCCGAUCCACCUGUGUGCUAUCGCUUGGGAAAGCAGUAGAAGAUGGCCCAAGUCCUUGGUCCCCUGUACCCAUGUGGGAGACCCGGAAGAAGCUCCUGGUACCUGUCUUCGGAUCUGGCCAGCCGUUUGCAGCUAGUUAGGGAAUGAACCAACGGAUGGAAGACUCACACACACACACACACACACACACACCUCUGUAACACUGCCUUUCCAAAUAUUUAUUUUAUUUAUUUGAAAGAGUUACAGCGAGAGGUAGAGACAGAGAGAGGUCUUCCAUCUGCUGGUUCACUCCCCAGAUGGCCGCAACGGCCAGAACUGUGCUGAUCCGAAGCCAGGAGCCAGGAUCUUCUUCCAGGUCUCCCACGUGGGUUCAGGGGCCCAAGGACUUGGACCAUCUUCUACUGAUUCCCAGGUCAUGGCAGAGAGCUGGAUCGGAAGAGGAGCAGCCGAGACUAGAACCAGCACCCAUAUGGGAUGCCGGCACCUCAGGCCAGGGCUUUAACCUGCUGUGACAAAGCGCUGGCCCCCAAUAAAUUAAAAAAAAAAAAAAAAGUGCAACAUGGACCAGCAUUAUUGCGUUGUGAGUUAAGUUGUUGCCUGGGACGUGGCAUCCCAUUUGACUAAUGGAUCAAGUCUCAGCUGCUCCACCUCCAAUCCAGCUCCCUGCUAAUGCGCCUAGGAAAGCUGCGGAAGUUGGCCCAAGUGCUUGGGCCCCUGCAACCCAUAUGGGAGAUCUGGCUAGAGUUCUUGGCUCCUGGUUUUGGCCUGGCCCAUACCCUGGAUAUUAUGGUCAUUUGGGGAGUGAACCAGUAGAUGGAAGAUCGAUCUCUUUGUAUCUUCCCUUUCUUUGUAAGGGCGCCUUUCAAGUAAAAUAAAUCUUAAAAAAAAAAAUCAAAUUCUGGCAUUUUAUUGGGCUGCAGCAAUUUUCUGUUUCUUUUUGGCUGUCAGCUCCGAUUUUUUUCUUGAAUUCUAUUGUUGCAGUUUAAAAGAAGACAUAACUUCAUUUUGGCUUUUUUAUUAAAUUACUAAACAAUAUGAAAAACCAAGUCAGCAUAAUGGAGGAGGUGUUCUCAGUAUAAAAGAGUGGAAGAGGGGCUGGCGCUGUGGCUCACUUGGCUAAUCCUCUGCCUGCGGCGCCAGAAUCCCAUAUGGGCUCCGGGUUCUAGUCCUGGUUGCUCCUCUUCCAGUCCAGCUCUCUGCUGUGGCCCUGGAGGGCUGUGGAGGAUGGCCCAAGUGCUUGGGCACCUGCACCCACAUGGGAGACCAGGAAGAAGCACCUGGCUCCUGGCUUCGGAUUGGUGUAGCUCCAGCCAUAGCGGCCAUUUUGGGGGUGAACCAACAGAAGGAAGGCCUUUCUCUGUCUUUCCCUCUCACUGUCUGUAACUCUACCUGUCAAAAAAAAAAAAAGAAGAAGAAGAAGAUCACCUCCUGUAACUUAGAAAUUAGUUUCCUGUAACUGAGAAAUUAGUUUACACCAAUAGUUAAAAUUACCAAAUUAAAAAUAGUGUAACUAUUUACACCAAUAGUUAAAAUUACCAAAACUCAGUUACUAAGAAGGCCUACCCAAGACCUUUUCAUAUACUUGUUGUGGAGGAAACAGAGGGUACAGUUUCUGAUGGCCUCAGUAAUGUGUGAUGAUAAACAACGAAAGUGAAGAUUUGUCAUGGAGCAAAUUUGGCAAGCACUGUCUCGGCUGAGUACGCCAGCGAUUAUAGGGGGUCUUACCCUCAGUUUUCACCCGAGCCUGGAUUAAAUAACUCUCUAAAGCCCUCUUUGUUAUAAAACCAUUUCAAACCAAGAACCUUCCAAUUGGUUAGUCCAGUUAAUAGUUAAGCCUCCAGGACAUGGGACAUGGAAGCCCUGAAUUGUAGACGCAAGUGUUCUAAACUAGAAAGGUAUAUCACGUGUUUGUAGGCACAUUAGUUCUUAGAUUGAUUUGUUGGAAAGGGAGUCGGCCAUCAGGACUUCUGUGUGAUUUAGUCCGUGUCAUUGUUAUCUUUUAGGGAGGUGCGUUCCAUGCAAGGGAAACUAGAAGCCAGGUCUGCCUCGGAGCUCAUAGCAUCAGGAGGAGGAUCAGAGCCCAUCCCAUGAGAACAAAAGUGAAAUCUGGAAGGAAGAACCUGUUCCUUGUGUCCAUCAAUUAUCUCUUUUUCUCUUUAUCUCCCAUCAGCUCUUUUCUCUGAUUAGAAACCUGCCCUGCUGAUCAAAAACACAACUUCCCCUGAUGACAUCCUCCUCUCAUUCACUUUCUUUUCUCAGCCACGCUUUGUGUCUUAUCUCCCUGUACUUCCUCAGCCUGCGGGCAGUGGGACUGCCUUCACCUCCUGACUUCCCUGCCCGCGGCUGCCCUUGACCUGCUGCUACUUGACAGUCCAACAGACUUUCUCCAGAUCCAUUCUACCUGACAGCUGUGGAGUUUGACCGUUUUCCUCCCUCUCUCUUUCUCUUUUGAAAACCUAUUCGUCUGGCGUUUGGCUCCCUUCUGCCCCGCUCUCAGAAUGCUCUUCUCCAGUAACCUUUCCCUGACCACCCAGUCUGGCUGGGUAGCUUUGCUUAGAGCUUCACCCUGACCAGCCCUCUGCCACUGCAUUUACCACAUUAUAUUAAAAUGUUCUGUCAGCUGUCUCCCAGGAUAAAUUGUAAGCUCCAGAAGAAGGCAUAUUUACCUGCAGCCCUACCACCUAGCCUGAAGCCAGGCACAUUGUAGGGGUGUGUGUGUGUUUAACCUAACAUCAGGGAGGAAGUCAGCCAGGCUUGGCCGUGAACUUGGCUUGUGGACUGACCACAUAGGAUGGGGGUUAACAGGGAGUCUCAACCUGAAGUUCACGUGGGCACCCAGGCUGGUCACCUCCAGAGCACGUGGCCUGCUGCAGUGUAUAACUUCCAAACUCCAUCAGCUGUUGGAAGCUGUGGUCCCUAACAUGCUGGUCGGGCUGUCAGGUCUGGUGCUGAGCUUGGAGAUAGUGGACUUUCGGGACCCAAAGUCAGGCAAGUGGGCACAUACCAGGAGUGCUGGAUAAAAGGAGUUUCCGGACAUCUGAGACUGGAGGUUGCUGUUCCAACAUCCGUCAGGGACCCUCACACAGCCUCCCUCUUUAACUUAAUACCAUUGCUUCUGCAGAGGUAAUUAUGGCUACAGAUGAAAGGCAGGAGAUAAAAUAUUUGCCAAUUCCCUUUGCCUUUUUAACUCACUAUGUUCAUUUUUCUCUUCCAUCAUUUCUUUUUGGCUGAAAAAAAAAGUGCUGCCUAUGUUUGUCUGGCUUGCCUGUGUUUAUCUAAUUUUAGAUUGCAAGCUGUGGGGUAGAAUCCUGUCUUUAUAUGUGCAGCAUCUCACUGUGGGGGCCUAAGAAUGUCUAAUGACAUCAACAUCUUUCAAUUAACCUGUUUUAUUUAAAUGACUGUAUUGUAAAGUUCUCCAGGGAAUUUGUGCACUUGAAUUUCACUGAACACGUAUAAAUAAUUUCCAGUCUCUAUCCAGUGUAUAUUCAGAACGUAGCCAUAAUAGUUUAGAGUAUCCUGUAUGAUGCAAGAUGAAGCCAAGGUUGACUGGCAUCUUAAGGUCCUUAGAUAAUACUGAGAUACAUGUGUGAGAGGGAUGAUGAGUGGAUAGAGCAGCCUCCUCCCAUCUGAAAGAGGAUACCUUCCCUAAGUCCUCGACUUAGAAAAAUCUAAUAUAAUGUCAUGAUAAGACCCAAACCAAGUAAUGCUUCAAAGAUUAUUGGCGUCUCCCUACACCAGCUUGCUGGGGUGAGGAGAAAGACAGUGAACGGUCAUGUCCAUGAUCAGAAGGACUUCCUGUAAUGAGUCUCAGUCAGAUUUUACACUUUCUUCCAUGUGCAUUACGUGUUUUCCUCAUACCUAUCCAGAACAAAGGGUUUGUAGAAGAGUUUGAAGUUGGGUCCUGGCCCAGGAGUGUGUGUCAGAUGUUAUAACCUGUCACUGGCUCUGAGAAAAAGGCUGCCAAGUGAGAAGACCUGAAUCUUGAAACAGAAACCCAGGUAGGGUCAUAAACAGACUAAUAAAGAAAGAAACAAUAUUGAAAGGAAACUGAAAGGAAAUCUCAGAGUACUAAGGAUUCUUACCAAGUGCUCUUUUGAUGCCACACAGUCAUCUGUGUUAAACCAGUGACCUUGUUAUAAUGCGUGUUUACUACAACCAAGAUACUGCCUCCUACCUAAUAGAAUUAUUGUGAGACUUAAGUAAGAUAAUACAUUCACACACUACAUAAUGACAUUUAAGUCGAGGCUGGACUACAUAUACAACCAUGGUCCCAUAAGAUUCUAAUGAAGCUGAAAAAUUCCUAUUGCUUAGUGAUGUCAUAGCCCCUGUAAUGUCAUAGUGCAAUGCACUAUUCAUCUGUCUUGUGGGUGACGCUGGUGCGAAUUACUGUACUGCCAAUCAUAUAGCAAAAAUAUAGUAAUUCAGUUAUGUACAGUACAUAAUACCUGGUAAUGCUAAUAAAUAUCUGUUAUUGAUCUGUAUUUACUAUACCAUGCUCAAUCAUUUUCUGAAGAAUUUUUGUUCAUUUGACAAACAGAGACAGAGAGCACCUGUCCACUGGUUUGCUUCCCAAAUGUUUGCAAUGUCCCCUAGGGGCCAAAGAUAGGAGCUGGGAACUCAGUACAGGUCCCCCACAUGGGUGGCAGGGGUCCAAUUUCUUGAGUCAUCUCACUGUGGCCUCCAAGGGUCUGUGUUGGUAGGAAGCUGGAGUCAGCAGCGGGAGGGGAGAACUGAGCCCAGGCACUCUGAUGUGUAACAUGGGCAUCUUAACAGGUGGGCUAAAUGCUCGCUGCCUAUGCUUGUUUUAGAGUGUACUCUUAAAAAAAAGGUGACUGUGAAACAGGAUGCUAUGUUAUGCUGGAAGCAGCUGCAUUCAGCUCUUGUUCAUAGACCUCCUAACUGCUCCAAGAAGCUAUCUUGAGUGAUUGACCUCUACUGUGGGUUUGUUGCAGGCCCAUCGCAGGAUGUGAGCACAGUGACACAAUGGCCGACAACACAAUUUUUUCAGAACACGUCCUUGUUGUUAAAAGACACACAGGGGCUGGUGCUGCGGUGUAGUGGGUUAAGCUGCUGCCUGUGAUGCUGGCAUCCCAUAUGGGCUCAGGUACAAGUCCCCCGGCUGCUCCACUUCUGAACUAGCUCCCUGCUAAUGCACCUGGGAAAGCAGAAGAUGGCCCAUGUGCUUAGGCCCAUGCCUCCCAUGAGGGAGACCUGGAUGAAGCUCCUGGCUCCUGGCUUUGGCCUGGCCCAGCCUUGGCCAUUAAAACCACCUGGGGAAUGAACCAGAGGAUGGAAGAUUCUCUCUCUCUCUAACUCUGACUUCCAAAUAAGUAAAAAAAAAUUUUAAGAUUCUUUAUUUGAAAGAGUUACAGAGAGAGAGAGGGAGAAUAUUAGUAGCUAAUAUUGAAAAUGGGUAAAGUUGUAUUGAAACCUUAUAUAACCUUACCAGGCAGUAAACUACAGUAGCACUAAUGAGGAAACUGAGUCAUAAUAAGUGGAGCUACUUUGAUUCAAACACAGGCAGUACAAGCUGCUAACUGGGGCACCUGCAUCCCAUAUCCGAGUGCCUGAUUCAAGUCCUGGCUGCUGCGCUUUGGAUCCAGCUUCCUGCCAAUGUGCCUCCUGGGAGCAGCAGGUUAUAUCAAGUGUUUGGGCCCCUGCCACCUGUGUGGGAGAUCCAGAUAGAGUUCCAGGCUCCUGGCCCACCUCUGGCUGUGGCGGGCAUUUGGGGAGUUAACCAGCAGGUGGAAGAUCUCUCUCUAUGUGUCUUUCUCUGUCUCUCUGCUUUUCAAAUAAAUUGAAAACAAAUAAAUCAAAUUCUAAAAUAAUACUUAAAAAAGAAUGAAGUCUCUGGUCAGGGAGUUCAGGGAGGAUCAGCACUUGAGAUAUGAGAGGAAGGAGUAUUGUAAAGUAGCAGAAAUGUGCUGGAGGUGGGAAUACACAGCUUGUGCUAAGGGGAGGAUGGAUCUCAUGCAUGAAACAUGGCAGACGGCAGAAGGCAAAGGCAAGUGGGACAGGGGGACAAGGACAGAACAAAUAGACGAGGCCUUGAGCAUGGGAGAAAUGGACUGGGGCUCGAAUGAAAAGGGGGCACAGGAUGUAAUCUUUUGGUCUCAUGGUUUUUUCCAUAAAGAAUUCCUGGCCGUGGCGGACUGGACUGGAAAGAGGAGAGACAAAGGAAGUCCAAUUAAGAUAUUCUUAGAAUGGCUCACUUUGGUCUUCCUGGAAGCAAAGUCAAAGAAAAACAAGUUCAUGCUGUCUAGUGAAAAGAUGCACACCAGUUUUAUUCAACAUUCACUGGAUGAUACAUUUAGUGCCUUCAAACAUCGCAGGUAGAGACAUGGACAAGAGCAUCUCUACCUUGAAGAAGAAUGCCUAGUUCAAGUCCUGACUACUCCUCGCCCGAUGCAGCUUCCUGAUACUGUGCCUGGGAGGCAGCAGGCGAUCGCUGAUGUACCUGGGUCGCUGGCACCCACACGGGGAGUCUUCAGUGGAGUUCCUGGCUCUUGGCUUCUACCUGGCCCAGCGCUGGCCUCUGUGGGCAUUUAGGGAGUGAAUUAGAGGAUGAAAGUCCCCUCUCUGUCUCUCUGCCUUUCAAAUAAAAAUUAAAAUAAAUAACUGCAAAUUUUAAAAAUUGCUAUAACAGGUUACCCAGUGACACCAUUUCAUUUUCACUAAUAAUUUCUGAACGCCAUUCAUUUCCUUUUAUAUAAAAAUCUAUUUUAAAAAUAUAAUAUGCAGGUAGCCUAUCUGCCUUUUAACUAUUGAUAAGAUAAUUUGCAUAUUUAAAAUAACCCUAGUUUGUCAUGAGAAAAAAGUGAGAAACUGAAAGUCACUGCAGGGGCCAGCUCUGUUGCGUAGCGGGUAAAGUCACUGCCUGCAGUGCCGGCAUCCCGUAUGGGUGCCAGUUCGAGACCUGGCUGCUCCACUUCUGAUCCAGAUCUCUGCUAUGGCCUGGGAAAACAAUAAAAGAUGGUCCAAGUCCUUGGGCCCCUGCACCUAUGUGGGAGACCCAGAAGAAGCUCCUGGCUCCCGGCUUCGGAUCAGUGCAGCUCUGGCUGUUGAGGCCAUCUGGGGAGUGAACCAGUGGAUGGAAGACCUCUUUCUCUCUCUGCCUUUCUUUCUCUCUCUUUGUAACUCUGGCUUUCAAAUAAAUAAAUCUUAAAAAAAAAAAUCACUGCCAUCCAAGAACUCAGAGGUGACAAUUGUCUGCCUGCCUGUCAUGUCCACAUGUGAACCAAGACAAGAGGACUAGACCAUACCUUUGUAAAUAUUAGACAAGCACACAGGACGAAGAGCUAUCAUGAAUGGCAAAAUAAUUGAUCUGACCAUCCUUAGUGAGGUGCAUUAGAAGAGAAAAGCAAAGAAAAAUUUGAAUGUUAUUCAACGGUUUUACUGUUAGGAUUAAUAUUUGCAUUACUAUCUUAUACUUUCCUGCAUUGGCAGAUAAAAGCAAUUUUGCUAACUUUGUCAAGAAUACAGCAUUUUUAUUUGGAGUGGUAACUGAAUGUUUCAUUUAUUAUAAAGAAAGGAAAAUACAGUUAUCAUCUGGAAAAAUAAAAAGUGGAAGCAAGCUUGUGGUUAUGUGAGAACUAAGUUGGAAAUAUUAAUAGAAACCAAUACCAUUUAACAAAAUAUAUCUUUUCUUGGUUUGUUCAUUGAAAUGUCCAAGAAACAAUAUUAUUGCUGCAUUGUAAAUGUGAUCGUAUGUGUGUCUGCUAUCUACAUUUUUGGAUCAAAUGCCAUUUUCAAUGAAAAGAACCAGUAUGCCAUAGAGAUAUACCAAUUGCAUGUCUCAGCCUUAGAAGGUACCAGUCAGUCUUGGAACAUCUUGCUGGGUCAGAAAGCAAGGAUGCUUUUUUUUUUCUUUAAGGGAAGACUUUAAAAAAUUUUUUUUUAAAGAUUUUUAUUUGAAAGUUACAGAGAGAGGUAGAGACAGAGAGUGAGGUUUUCCAUCCGCUGGUUCAUUCUCCAGAUGGCUGCGCUGAUCCAAAGCCAGGAGUCAGAAGCUUCUUCUGGGUUUCCCACAUGGGUGCAGGGGCCCAAGGACUUGGGCCAUCUUCUACUGCUUUCCCAGGCCAUAGCAGAGAGCUGGACUGGAAGUGGAGCAGCCGGGACUAGAACUGGUGCCCAUAUGGGAUGCUGACACUUCAGGCCAGGGCUUUAAUCUGAAGCACCACAGUACCGGCCCCAGCAAGGAUGCUUUUAUUUAUUUUUUUUAAGCUUGUGGUAAUGUGCUUUAUCUUUUUUUAAAUGUUUAUUUAUUUGAAAUGCAGAGUUACAGAGAGGCAGAGGCAGAGAGAGAGAGAGAGAGAGAGAGAGAGAGAGGUCUUCCAUCCGCUGGUUCACUCCCUAAGUGGCUGCAACAGUUGGAGCUGGGCCGAGGAGUCAGGAGCUAGGAGCUUCUUCUGGUUCUCCCACCAGGGUGCAGGGGUCCAAGGACUGGGGCCAUCUUCCACUGCUUUCCCAGGCCAUGGCAGAGAGCCGUAUUGGAAGUAGAGAGCCGGGACUCGAACUUGAGCCCUUAAGGGAUGCCCAUGCAGUGCCGGUCCUACAAAGAUGCUUUUAAAAAAUAUUGAUACUACAUAAAAGAAUGCAGAAACCAGCUUCAAGGGACUUCAAUUGAUUAAAUUCUAUCAAUUUGAAUAUCAAUAGAAAAAUGAUGACUAUGGGUGGUUAAAAUACAUUUUGUGAAAAGC